CUUUUUUCUUUCCAUAUAGGAAGAGACUUCUCAUUAUAGGGAGUGAGUCAAGCACCAAGGAACUCUCUUGUUACCAGCUUUGCAUUCUCCUAUGUGUCUAGAUUCCUGUGGUAAGCUUCACUAAUAAGUGAAGAGUUGUCCUCUGUUAAUCAAAAUGCUCUGGAGAGUCUGCAAGCAGCACAGUGUAAUGUCAGCAAAGAAUUUCUACUCUAUUACUAACUACUAAGAAAAAAAUUAUGCAUCAACCAAGAUUUCAUCCAAAUGAAUUUGUUUUUGUACUGUUUUGAAUGGAGUAAUGACUUAAAACUGUUGAGCAGAUUGACUUGCUUAAGAAACACAACUGGCUUCUAGCUGGCAUGCAGGAUUUUGUGAAGUGAUUAAUCACAGCUGCUAGAUGCCAAGGUUAGGGGUAUGUUCUGUAUUGGCAGUCCCCUUCAUACUUGCAUAGGUUGUUCUGGAAAGGAGGGAGGGAAUGGGGCAUGAGAAUGGAAAGGGAAACAGUUUUCAGAUCAGUUACCGUGACUUUCGAAGUAUCCUGCGUACCAAAAUGUUGGCUUCAUCAAAUUAAGUCCAAGGCAGUCUUUGUGGAUUUAUCAUGCUUGUACUGUAUUUUGGUUUUUGUAAUAUUUCUCGUGUUGACUUUUCUAAGUAAAGAUCAAAAGCCUUCUCAAAGAAUGGGG
rnacentral:lncRNA from 7 species